rnacentral:rRNA from 1 species
GAUGAACGCUGGCGGCGUGCUUAACACAUGCAAGUCGAACGAAGACAUCUGAGUGCUGCACUUGGAUGGACUGAGUGGCGGACGGGUGAGUAACGCGUGGGUAACCUGCCUUAUACAGGGGGAUAACAGUUGGAAACGACUGCUAAUACCGCAUAAGCGCACGGUAUCGCAUGAUACAGUGUGAAAAACUCCGGUGGUAUAAGAUGGACCCGCGUCUGAUUAGCUUGUUGGUGAGGUAACGGCCCACCAAGGCGACGAUCAGUAGCCGGACUGAGAGGUUGAACGGCCACAUUUGGGACUGAGAUACGGCCCAGACUCCUACGGGAGGCAGCAGUGGGGAAUAUUGGGCAAUGGGCGCAAGCCUGACCCAGCAACGCCGCGUGAAGGAAGAAGGCUUUCGGGUUGUAAACUUCUUUUGUCAGGGACGAGUAGAAGACGGUACCUGACGAUAAGCCACGGCUAACUAACGUG